rnacentral:rRNA from 1 species
CGCGGGAUUGGACGGGGAGCAGCAGGCGCGAAAACUUUACAAUGCGGGAAACCGCGAUAAGGGGACACCGAGUGCCAGCAUAUUAUGUUGGCUGUCCACAUGUGUAAACGGCAUGUGUUAGCAAGGGCCGGGCAAGACCGGUGCCAGCCGCCGCGGUAACACCGGCGGCCCGAGUGGUAAUCACUUUUAUUGGGUCUAAAGGGUCCGUAGCCGGUUUGAUCAGUUCUUCGGGAAAUCUGACAGCUUAACUGUUAGGCUUCCGGGGAAUACUGUCAGACUUGGGACCGGGAGAGGUAAGAGGUACUACAGGGGUAGGAGUGAAAUCUUGUAAUCCCUGUGGGACCACCAGUGGCGAAGGCGUCUUACCAGAACGGGUCCGACGGUGAGGGACGAAAGCUGGGGGCACGAACCGGAUUAGAUACCCGGGUAGUCCCAGCCGUAAACGAUGUUCGCUAGGUGUCAGGGACGGUGCGACCGUUUCUGGUGCCGCAGGGAAACCGUGAAGCGACCACCCUGGGAAGUCCGCCCGCAGGUUGAAACUAAAGGGAUUGGCGGGGGGAGCACUACAACGGGUGGAGCCUGCGGUUUAAUUGGACUCAACGCCGGAAAACUCCCCGGGGGCGACAGCAACAUGUAGGUCAGGCUAAAGACCUUACCUGAAUCGCUGAGAGGAGGUGCAUGGCCGUCGUCAGUUCGUACUGUGAAGCAUCCUGUUAAGUCAGGCAACGAGCGAGACCCGUGCCCACUGUUGCCAGCAUGUCCUUCGGGAUGAUGGGUACUCUGUGGGGACCGCUGGUGCUAAACCAGAGGAAGGUGCGGGCUACGGUAGGUCAGUAUGCCCCGAAUCUCCCGGGCUACACGCGGGCUACAAUGGCUGGGACAAUGGGUUCCUACACCGAAAGGUGAUGGUAAUCUCCCAAACCCAGCCGUAGUUCGAAUCGAGGACUGUAACUCGUCCUCGUGAAGCUGGAAUCCGUAGUAAUCGCGUUUCAACAUAGCGCGGUGAAUACGUCCCUGCUCCUUGCAUGAAUUCGCCGAAUCAAUAGU